GACGAACGCUGGCGGCGUGCUUAACACAUGCAAGUCGAACGAGUGGCGAACGGGUGAGUAAUACGUGAGUAACCUGCCCUCUUUUUGGGAUAAUCCUUGGAAACGGGGCCUAUUACCGGAUAAAGGGGGAUGGGCUCGCGGCCUAUCAGCUAGUUGGUGGGUUGCUGGCCUACCAAGGCGGUGACGGGUAGCCGGCCUGAGAGGGUGGCCUGCGACAGUGAGACGGAGAAACGGCCGAGACUCCUACGGGAGGGAGCAGUUGGGGAUAUUGCACAAAGGGUGAAAGCCUGAUGCAGCGUGGCUGCGGGGGGGAUGAAGGCUGUCGAGUUGUAAACCUCUUUCGCUAUCUAACGGGUAGGUGGAGAAGAAGCGCCGGCUAACUACGUGCCAGCAGCCGCGGUAAUUC
rnacentral:rRNA from 1 species